rnacentral:rRNA from 1 species
GAUGAACGCUGGCGGCGUGCCUAAUACAUGCAAGUCGAGCGAACAGACGAGGAGCUUGCUCCUCUGACGUUAUCGCCGGACGGGUGAGUAACACGUGGAUAACCUACCUAUAAGACUGGGAUAACUUCGUGAAACCGGAGCUAAUACCGGAUAAUAUAUUGAACCGCAUGGUUCAAUAGUGAAAGUCGGUUUUGCUGUCACUUAUAGAUGGAUCCGCGCCGCAUUAGCUAGUUGGUAAGGUAACGGCUUACCAAGGCGACGAUGCGUAGCCGACCUGAGAGGGUGAUCGGCCACACUGGAACUGAGACACGGUCCAGACUCCUACGGGAGGCAGCAGUAGGGAAUCUUCCGCAAUGGGCGAAAGCCUGACGGAGCAACGCCGCGUGAGUGAUGAAGGUCUUCGGAUCGUAAAACUCUGUUAUUAGGGAAGAACAAAUGUGUAAGUAACUAUGCACGUCUUGACGGUACCUAAUCAGAAAGCCACGGCUAACUACGUG